rnacentral:rRNA from 1 species
AUUGAACGCUGGCGGCAUGCCUAACACAUGCAAGUAGGGCGAGCGGCGGACUGGGGCGGAAUGUAUGGGGAUCUGACUGAUGGAGGGGGAUAACUACUGGAAACGGUCGCUAAUACAGCUUAACAUAAGUAGAACACAUAUGGGAUUAGCUAGUAGGUGAGGUAACGGCUCACAUAGUAGACGAUCCAGAGAUGGUCUGAGAGGAUGAUCAUCCACACUGUGACGGAGACACGGCCCAUACUCCUACGGGAGGCAGCAGUGGGGAAUAUUGCACAAUGGGCGCAAGCCUGAUGCAGCCAUGCCGCGUGUAUGAAGAAGGCCUUCGGGUUGUAAAGUACUUUCAGUCGGGAGGCGUUACCGACAUAAGAAGCACCGGCUAACUCCGGGCCAGCAGCCGCGGUAAUAC